GACGAACGCUGGCGGCGUGCUUAACACAUGCAAGUCGAACGGAAAGGCCCUGCUUUUGUGGGGUGCUCGAGUGGCGAACGGGUGAGUAACACGUGAGUAACCUGCCCUUGACUUUGGGAUAACUUCAGGAAACUGGGGCUAAUACCGGAUAGGAGCUCCUGCUGCAUGGUGGGGGUUGGAAAGUUUCGGCGGUUGGGGAUGGACUCGCGGCUUAUCAGCUUGUUGGUGGGGUAGUGGCUUACCAAGGCUUUGACGGGUAGCCGGCCUGAGAGGGUGGCCGGCCAAAAUGGGGCUGAGGAAAGGGCCCAGACCCUAAGGGAGGGAAGAGUGGGGGAUAAUGCACAAAGGGGCGAAAGCUGGAGGAAGAAACGCGGGUGCGGGAAGACGGCCUUUGGGGUGUGAACCGCUUUCGCCUGUGACGAAGCGUGAGUGACGGUAAUGGGUAAAGAAGCACCGGCUAACUACGUG
rnacentral:rRNA from 1 species